UACGAUCUCACGGGUGCAGGUGGAGGGAAGUCCGGUGCGAUUCCGGCGCGGUCCCGCCGCUGUCACCGGUAAGGAUCCCCGAUCAGGCCACUGGGUUCGUCCGGGAAGGCCGGGGACUCCGAUGAACCGGGAGCCAGAAGACCUGCCUGCCCCACUCGCCACAC
rnacentral:ncRNA from 1 species